rnacentral:rRNA from 1 species
UACGGAAGGCAGCAGUGGGGAAUAUUGCACAAUGGGCGCAAGCCUGAUGCAGCCAUGCCGCGUGUAUGAAGAAGGCCUUCGGGUUGUAAAGUACUUUCAGCGGGGAGGAAGGCGGUGAAGUUAAUAGCUUCACCGAUUGACGUUACCCGCAGAAGAAGCACCGGCUAACUCCGUGCCAGCAGCCGCGGUAAUACGGAGGGUGCAAGCGUUAAUCGGAAUUACUGGGCGUAAAGCGCACGCAGGCGGUCUGUCAAGUCGGAUGUGAAAUCCCCGGGCUUAACCUGGGAACUGCAUUCGAAACUGGCAGGCUAGAGUCUUGUAGAGGGGGUAGAAUUCCAGGUGUAGCGGUGAAAUGCGUAGAGAUCUGGAGGAAUACCGGUGGCGAAGGCGGCCCCUGGGCAAAGCUGACGCUCAGGGUGCGAAAGCGUGGGGAGCGAAACAGGGAUUAGGAUACC